GAACAUGUCCGAGUUCAGAGUUCAGAGUCAUGAACCAAUGUACUGUUGCAACAAAACUCUUUCUUGAGGUCCUUAAGUAUAUUGCUGUAAAUAUACUCUUUCUUCAACCCUUGGACUGUUGUCAAGCUUUUCCUACCAUUGCGCUGAUGCACACGGAUGUGGACGUACUCCUUUGUUCCCGCACCUGAGUCCUCAGCAUUCGCAUCAGCAAACGGGUCUGCAGGUAAUUAAAAAAUAAAUUGAUUAGCAAAUGAGAAACAUUAACCAUAGCCCAUGUUCCAAAUAUAAAAAACUGUAACCAAAGAUUUAAGAUAAGUCUUAAAUGGACAAAUGAGGCAGAUAAGCAGAGGUAUUUUGAUAGACUAUGGAUCAAAGUGGAACUUACCGAAGGCAGUAGAGACCUGGGAAUCAAGUUCAGACAUGAAACUUUGUUGAUCUGAUGGGCAAAAGGACAGAGAAUCUGAGACCUGAGCAAGAAGACCAACGUCAUAAUAAGAGUUUAACACACUCAGAUGGGUACAAAACACCAUGAUAUAAACAGAACAGUUACCCAUCAAGUAAACUACACUUUAGUAUGAGUUACACAAAACACUAAGAUACAUUGCGCUUGAAGUAAACGAUUUCAACAACUCCUGAGUACCUUAAGAAGGGGAUGGAGAUAGCUAGCAUGAAGAGGUUGUCCCUUAGCAUUGAAGUUAUACUCCUUGAAUUCCAACUCUUGCCAGCUGCAUGUGAGUACUCAUUUUUCUCUUACUUUUCCAAUGCCAACAACAUAAUUAAUACGUCUAGAAAACAAACAUUAGUGAUUAGUACUCACUUGUGUAGAUUUUCUCGAGUCAAGUCAGUAGCGAAAAUCUUCCUUUUGGAAGCAUAAUUAGGACCUUUCUCAACAUCAGAAUAUCCCGUCCAUCCCCUAAUAAGUAAGGAAAGGAGUUGUUCAGGCAAAAGAUGAAUAUCGUAAGUUGUAUCCCAUAUUUGAAUGAAGUGAGAAUUCUGGUGUCAACCUUUGACCUAUCGUUAGUUGAAUUUGUUGGAGCUUGGAUUGAAAGUUAUUGUUGUAUAUAAGAACGUGGGAUUAAAAGAGAUUGCAUGGUAAUAGAAAAAGAAGGGUUAAUACGUAUGGGAGGGGGGGGGUUAAAAUAAUAGAAAGGAAAGCAGCAAACAAAACAUAGAGGUACAAAGUGAAGAUCAACAUAAAUCUAGAAUUCUGUAGCACCAUUCCUUUGAAACGAAGUCAUAUUUCGGGAGCUUAACUUGCGAUUUGGUACUUUUCAAUACACAGCUAUGAAUAUAUUUUAUUGCAUUGGUGAUUUUAUAUUUAUAGUAUGUAAAUUUGAGACAGUAUGGUUUAAUAAAUAUAGAAAUUUGUAAUGGUGCGAAAGAAAAAUAUCUAAAUGGUGUGAAUGGAUAUCUUAUACUA